GACGGAGGGUGCGAGCGUUAUUCGGAAUCAUUGGGCGUUAAGAGUGUGUAGGCGGCCGGUUAAGUCAGGUGUGAAAGCCCAGGGCUCAACCCUGGAAGUGCACUUGAAACUGGUCGGCUUGAGUUCGGGAGAGGGAAGCGGAAUUCCUGGUGUAGAGGUGAAAUUCGUAGAUAUCAGGAGGAACACCGGUGGCGAAGGCGGCUUCCUGUACCGAAACUGACGCUGAGACACGAAAGCGUGGGGAGCAAACAGG
rnacentral:rRNA from 1 species